UACGUAGGGGGCUAGCGUUGUCCGGAAUCAUUGGGCGUAAAGGGUGCGUAGGCGGCGCGGUAAGUCGGGUGUGAAAUCUCGGGGCUUAACUCCGAAACUGCAUUCGAUACUGCCGUGCUUGAGGACUGGAGAGGAGACUGGAAUUUACGGUGUAGCGGUGAAAUGCGUAGAUAUCAGGAAGAACACCCGUGGCUAAGGCGGCUCUCUAGUACGGUACUGACGCUGAGACGCGAAAGCGUGGGGAGCGAACAGG
rnacentral:rRNA from 1 species